GAGUCCUUUUCUUGACGCUUGGCAUCCUGCCCUGGCCGUGGAGCUGGGGCAGCCAGAAGAGGAGUUAGCAUUGGUGUUCGAAGCCAAGUCAGAACUGGACAUUGAUUUUUCCACUGGGAAUAAGGUAACAGAAUCCUCAAGUGAGUGAAAAUCCUUUCCACCAGUAUUGGCACUUUCACCAUGAUGAGACUGAGGCCCCAGCAGGUGGCCACCCAGAGGUCACAUGGUUUGUGAAGUGUGUGUGUGUGCUCAGUCACUCAGUUGUGUCUGACUCCACUACGGCA